rnacentral:misc_RNA from 1 species
AAAAGGAUUAGUUGGAAAAUUGCAACCAAGUAAUUCAGCUUAUGCCAUAGUUUUUUUCGGUGGUCAUGGGAUUUUUCUUCACUCAUUCUUGGCUGUAAUUUCAUUUUGUGUUGUAUAUUUCUAGGAAACCUUUUGGGUUUAGGGGAUUUGUGCUCUAAUCUUGAAAAUAUGAGUGAAACUUUGUAAGCAGGGAAGGCUGAUUGAAAUGUAAUUAGAUGCAUG